rnacentral:lncRNA from 10 species
GGGGGAGGAGCGAAUUGGGAAGGGGGCGGAGCCAAGCGGGCGCGAAGAGGGACUGGACCAGCGGGUUGGCGGGCGGAGGGCGGAGGCGCGGCGUGCCGCGGGAGCGCGCGCGCCUCGCCAGCUUUCAGGGGAAGAGGGCCUUUGCCGCCGUUCGCGUCAGGGCGAGUUCCGGGACGUCAGUGCGGUCUCCGCCAAUGGUGAGCGUCCACGUAGAGGGAACGCCUUGUGAUCGCGCGUCACCAGAGAGAAAGGCCUUUCCCUUUCUUCUCGCGCUUGUCCCUCAUUCCCCACGCAGGCCUCUAGUUCUCCAUUUCAGAAUUCAUUCUAUUCCUGUGCCCGAAAUAAAACCCACGUUUUUCUUGCUUGUAAUUUAAAGGUUGCAAGAAAAACUCCUCGGCCCCUCGGACCAUCUUUCCUGUUUCCAAAUGCCGGGGACCAGUGUCUGUGACUGCGCCGCCUGCCUGAGGGCAUGUACUGAAAAGCCCUGCGACUCCAACAUGUGGGACUCACAAGCACCUUGGACAGGCCUCAAAACGCGGCUGACAUACAGAAUUUUUACCAUUAACGACCUGAGGCAGGACUGGUGGAGGUCAGUUCAUUAGUUACUGAUCUCAAGAAACAAGUCAGGACUAUUUUCUAAUGUGCUUCUUUCAAGUUAGUGUGGAAAGAGCUGAUGCAUCUGUUGUAGCUGACGGAAUUUAAGGAACUGAAUAAUUGACAAGAUUUCCAGAAAAGCAGGGUCGCCAGAUAAUGCUACCUGUUUGCGAAUGAUUGUUACCGUAAUGCUCUAGAGAGCUAAUCCUUUCUCGGCCUAGUCAGAUGAUUUUAAAUCAUUUGAUUUUACAGAGCUUUAGUUUCAGUUUUUUAAAUGAAAAUGGGGAUGGGAUUAGGUCAUCUUCUAACACCCACGACAGCCAUAAAUUGAUAAUCUAUGGAUCCAUAUUUAAAGUUACUGAUAAAAAUAACCACAAUUGACCAGCCUCCCUUCCCUGUUAGGAAAUGCUUUAUAUUUUAAUUUAGCAACCCAUGUGACCAACCCUUUUAGAAUUGAACUGGCUCUCCCUAGGAAAGGUUAGAAAUCUAAUCAGUUAUAGUAAGUUUCUGUUAACAAAUGGGGAGUGGUCGACUUGGAGUUUGGAAAAGGGGAGCGUAAAGUCUAAAAGUUUGUUAAUUUAUCUAGCCGUUGCUCCAGGAGGACCUGUGUUAUAGUUUGGAAACAUUUACAAAGGGUAUUUUUGUGGGGCAGAAAACAGUUAGCAGUCCUUAAUGUAAUUUGGUUGAAAUAACCGUUCAAACCAGACUCCUCCUGUUGCUUUGAUUCCUUUUUCGCAAACUUUCUUAUGUUCUACGUAUCCAGGUGCUCCUGAUGGCCAGCAAUAGACUUGAGACAUUGGAAGAAUGUAUAGCCUUAGCGUCUAUUUAGUGUUAAGAUUUUGUAAGUCUAAUUACUGUGAAAUAGUCCUGGUAACUUUAUCGAUUCUGGAUACAAAGAAAAAUGCAAAGUGAAAGACCUUUGGAAAUUGCUAUUCACACCAGAGUACUCUAUGAGACAUUACAUAGGUGAUCAAGAAGAGUGAUCACCUGGCUGCACUUUAGGGUAUGUUUGUCCAGGUUUUUCUAAUAAGUUAAUUCUAAUCAAUAACUUUUGUUCUAAUUAGUAACUUUUGUAUAAAUGUUAAUGUUAAAUCGCGAAACAAUGUGGGAUGGGAUACUAAGUUCUCUCCAGGAACAUGAAAUGUCAGCCCAUUUAUUCACAUCUUUUUGUCCUCCCUAUUGUAUUGGUCCAGAUUUGUUGUUCAUCCUGACUGUAUGCUGUUUUUAGACAUUAGUUAUUUUUUAUGCUUUUGUCUAAACAAGCUCUGGCCGGGCGCCAUGGCUCACACCUGUAAUCCCAGGCCUUUGGGAGGCCGAGGUAGGCAGGUCACCUGAGGUGGAGAGUUUGAGACCAGCUUGACCAACACGGUUAAACCCUGUCUCUACUUUUAAAAAAAAUACAAAAAUUAGCCGGGCAUGGAGGCACACGUCAGUAAUCCCAGCUGCUUGGGAGGCUGUGGCACGAGAAUCACUUGAACUCAAGAGGCGGAGGUUGCAGUGAGCUGAAAUUGCCCCACUGCACUCCAGUCUGGGUGACAGAGCGAGAUUCCGCCUCAAAAAAAAAAAAAAAAAAAAAAAAGGCCGGGCGCGGUGGCUCACGCCUGUAAUCCCAGCACUUUGGGAGGCCGAGGCGGGCGGAUCACGAGGUCAGGAGAUCGAGACCAUCCUGGCUAACAUGGUGAAACCCCGUCUCUACUAAGAAUACAAAAAAAAAAAAAAAUUAGCCGGGCGUGAUGGCGGGCGCCUGUAGUCCCAGCUGCUGGGAAGGCUGAAGCAGGAGAAUGGCGUGAACCCGGGAGGCGGAGCUUGCAGUGAGCCGAGAUCACGCUGCUGGCUGGGCGCAGUGGUUCAAGCCUGUAAUCCCAGUACUUUGGACGGCCAAGGCGGGCGGAUCACCUGAGGUCAAGAGUUCGAGACCAGCCUGGCCAACAUGGUGAAACCCUGUCUCUACUCAAAAUACAAAAUUGGUCGGGUGUGGUGGUGGGUGCCUGUAGUCCCAGCUACUCAGGAGGCUGAGGCUGGAGAAUCGCUUGAACCUGGGAAGCGGAGGUUGCAGUGAGCUGAGAUCGUGCCAUUGCACUCCAGCCUGGGUGACAGAGCGAGACUCCAUCUCAAAAAAUAAAUAAAUAAAUAAACUUAAGGUCCAGUUAUGUCUCAGGUACAAAAACCACUUUUCCAGUCCUUGACCCUGUAGGGCACAGACUUGAACCUUGGCUAUGGUCUGCACUUGCAGCCCUGACUCUUUGAUAUGAGAAAGGGAGUGUAUGGGAUGGGAGGAGGGAAUGAGGGUCCUAGGGUGAGAUGGGUGGCAGACAAACUUUAUAAUCUAUAUCAGGCCCUCUCCUUUAUAUCAUGACAUACAGAAAAUAAUCAUUUUUGUACAGCAUAGUAGGGUAAACUAGAAGAUAUUUGGAGGCAUCUAAGUGGUGGUAAUGUUUUAAGCAUCUGAUUUUGAUAAAAUACAAAGUAUUAGGAAUGAUAUUAAAUAUUGAAUUUGCAUAAAACUUUCAAAUUAAAAUUUUCCGUGUUUUUUAGUGAUCAACUUGAACUUGUUCCUGUGAAUACAUUUUGAUAUUAGGUUUUAUGGUUGAAGUGGCUUUAUGCAGUUUCUGAUCUAGACUUUUUUUUUCUUGAGACAGAGUCUCACUCUGUCACCCGGGCUAGAGUGCAGUGGCAUGAUCUCGGCUCACUGCAACCUACCACUCCUGGGUUCAAACAAUUCUCAUGCCUCAGCCACCCAAGUAGCUGGGAUUACAGGCCCAUGCUACCAUGCCCGGCUAAUUUUGUUUUUGUUUUUGUUUUGAGACAGAGUCUCUUGCUCUGUCGCCCACGCUGGAGUGCAGUGGCGUGAUCUCUGCUCACUGCAACCCCUGCCUCCUGAGUUCAAGCUAUUCUCCUGCCUUAGCCUCUCAAGUAGUAAGGACUACAGGCGUGCAUCACCACGCCUGGCUAAUUUUUGUAUUUUUAGUGGAGACAGGGUUUCACCAUGUUGGCUGGGUUAGUCUGGAAUUCCUGAUCUUAAGAGAUCCGCCCGCCUUGGCCUCCCAAGGUGCUGGGAUUAUAGGCGUGAGCCACUGUGCCUGGCUGGAAGAAGGUAACUCAUUUUGUUUGUUUUUGAGACAGAGUCUCGCUCUGUCACCAGGCUGGAGUGCAGUGGCACAAUCUCGGCUCACUGCAACCUCCGCCUCCCGGGUUCAAGUGAUUCUCCUGCCUUAGCCUCUCAAGUAGCUGGGACUACAGGCGCUCACCACCACACCUGGCUAAUUUUUUGUAUUUUUAGUAGAGACGGGGUUUCACCACGUCAGCCAGGAUGGUCUCCAUCUCUUGACCUUGUGAUCCACCCGCCUCGGCCUCCCAAAGUGCUGGGAUUACAGGCAUGAGGGAAGAAGGUAACCCUUAAAAGGGAGGAAUUGUAAUAAACUAUAAGCUUUGUUAUGUGCCAUUAUAUUCAGAAUAUACCAAAGCUUUAUUUUCUAAAAUCUUGAUUUUUAAAUAAGGAGUUUAUAAAGUAAAACACACACAAAAAGUCUUUCCCCACAAAAUCCUAUUACAUAGAUUUGACCAUGAUCAACAACUUAUUACAUAUCCUCUCACAUUUUCUUGUUGGCCUAAUCAAUGCUUAUAUAUAUGAAACAAACAUAUUUGUUUUAUUUUUACCAAUGUAUGUCUAACUAUCCAGAUUGAUUUGAAAUUUCCUUUCUCUUCCACUUAACAAAGUUAUUUACCAAACUCUUACUAUGUGCCAGGCAAUGCUAGGUGCUGGAAAUUCAUCAUAGUCACUCACAUUAUUGAAUACUACUGUAUACCUUGUAAUGGGCCACGUACAUUAUGUUCCUGAUUUCAUUCCCUUAAUAAACUUAGGAGGGUAAAUUCUCCCUAAUCUGGGAUGUAGGAAAGUUGAAUACAUUGACUAAAAUUAUAUAGGCCCUGCAAGUAAAGUGCU